rnacentral:rRNA from 1 species
GAGUUUGAUCCUGGCUCAGGAUGAACGCUGGCGGCGUGCUUAACACAUGCAAGUCGAACGGAGUUAUCAUUUUUGAAGCGAUUAGCUUGCUAAGAGUGGAAAAGUUGAUAACUUAGUGGCGGACGGGUGAGUAACGCGUGGGUAACCUGCCUUACACAGGGGGAUAACACUUAGAAAUAGGUGCUAAUACCGCAUAAGCGCACAGUCCCGCAUGGGACAGAGUGAAAAACAUUAGUGGUGUAAGAUGGACCCGCGUCUGAUUAGCUUGUUGGCGGGGUAACGGCCCACCAAGGCGACGAUCAGUAGCCGGCCUGAGAGGGUGGACGGCCACAUUGGGACUGAGACACGGCCCAAACUCCUACGGGAGGCAGCAGUGGGGGAUAUUGGACAAUGGGGGAAACCCUGAUCCAGCGACGCCGCGUGAGUGAAGAAGUAUUUCGGUAUGUAAAGCUCUAUCAGCAGGGAAGAAA